rnacentral:rRNA from 1 species
GACAGAGGAGGCAAGCGUUGUUCGGAAUCAUUGGGCUUAAAGGGCGUGUAGGCGGCAACGCAAGUGUCGAGUGAAAUCCCAUCGCUCAACGAUGGAACGGCUCGGCAAACUGCGUGGCUUGAGGUCGGUAGAGGUGCUCGGAACUCUAGGUGGAGCGGUGAAAUGCGUAGAUAUCUAGAGGAACGCCUGAGGCGAAAGCGGGGCACUGGGCCGAUUCUGACGCUGAGACGCGAAAGCGUGGGGAGCAAACAGG